rnacentral:tRNA from 1 species
UCUUCAAUAGCUUAGUGAUUGAGCGAUCGACUCUUAAUAGAUUGCUCGUAGGUUCGAAUCCUACUUGGGGAG